rnacentral:antisense_RNA from 1 species
GGGUGCUUGAGGCUGUAUGCCUUAGGCGCUGGCCGAAUGGCAUGCAGAGAAAAGCCCCACCCGACUAUAAAUCGAAUGAGGCCAAUUCCAUGCAUCAACAACAUGAGAAUAGCCUCUUAACUGCUGUAAAGCAACGACGGAGGCCGGAAU